AUUGAACGCUGGCGGCAUGCCUUACACAUGCAAGUCGAACGGUAACGCGGGGGCAACCCUGGCGACGAGUGGCGAACGGGUGAGUAACACAUCGGAACGUACCCAGUAGUGGGGGAUAGCUCGGCGAAAGCCGGAUUAAUACCGCAUACGACCUAUGGGUGAAAGCGGGGGAUCGCAAGACCUCGCGCUAUUGGAGCGGCCGAUGUCGGAUUAGCUAGUUGGUGAGGUAAAGGCUCACCAAGGCUACGAUCCGUAGCUGGUCUGAGAGGACGACCAGCCACACUGGGACUGAGACACGGCCCAGACUCCUACGGGAGGCAGCAGUGGGGAAUUUUGGACAAUGGGCGCAAGCCUGAUCCAGCCAUGCCGCGUGUGU
rnacentral:rRNA from 1 species